rnacentral:rRNA from 1 species
UACAGAGGUCUCAAGCGUUGUUCGGAUUCAUUGGGCGUAAAGGGUGCGUAGGUGGCGAGGUAAGUCGGAUGUGAAAGCUCGGAGCUCAACUCCGAAAUGGCAUUGGAAACUACCUUGCUUGAGGGUUGGAGGGGGGACUGGAAUUCUCGGUGUAGCAGUGAAAUGCGUAGAUAUCGAGAGGAGCACCAGUGGCGAAGGCGAGUCCCUGGACAACACCUGACACUGAGGCACGAAAGCUAGGGGAGCAAACAGG